rnacentral:rRNA from 1 species
UACGUAGGGACCAAGCGUUGUUCGGAUUUACUGGGCGUAAAGGGCGCGUAGGCGGCAUGACAAGUCACUUGUGAAAUCUCCGGGCUUAACUCGGAACGGCCAAGUGAUACUGUCACGCUAGAGUGCAGAAAGGGCAAUCGGAAUUCUUGGUGUAGCGGUGAAAUGCGUAGAUAUCAAGAGGAACACCUGAGGCGAAGGCGGGUUGCUAGGCUGACACUGACGCUGAGGCGCGAAAGCUAGGGGAGCGAACGGG